rnacentral:rRNA from 1 species
CAGUCGCCACGGUAAUGCGUAGGUGGCAAGCGUUGUCCGGAAUUAUUGGGCGUAAAGCGCGCGCAGGCGGUUUUUUAAGUCUGGUGUCUAAGUGCGGGGCUCAACCCCGUGACGCACUGGAAACUGGGAGACUUGAGUGCAGAAGAGGAGAGCGGAAUUCCACGUGUAGCGGUGAAAUGCGUAGAGAUGUGGAGGAACACCAGUGGCGAAGGCGGCUCUCUGGACUGUAACUGACGCUGAGGCGCGAAAGCGUGGGGAGCAAACAGGAUUAGAUACCCCAGUAGUCCCUGUCUCUUAUACA